AAUAAGGUCCAAAAUUCUCUGAAGGCACCAGAUCCCAUCUGGUCUUGGAAGGAGAACAGAGUCAGCUUUGGUUAGUACUGGAUGGAAGACCACCAAUGAGUAGCAGCUGCAGGCUUUAUUU
rnacentral:rRNA from 11 species